rnacentral:rRNA from 1 species
UGCGGAAGGAUCAUUAAAGAGUAAGGGUGCUCAGCGCCCGACCUCCAACCCUUUGUUGUUAAAACUACCUUGUUGCUUUGGCGGGACCGCUCGGUCUCGAGCCGCUGGGGAUUCGUCCCAGGCGAGCGCCCGCCAGAGUUAAACCAAACUCUUGUUAUUAAACCGGUCGUCUGAGUUAAAAUUUUGAAUAAAUCAAAACUUUCAACAACGGAUCUCUUGGUUCUCGCAUCGAUGAAGAACGCAGCGAAAUGCGAUAAGUAAUGUGAAUUGCAGAAUUCAGUGAAUCAUCGAAUCUUUGAACGCACAUUGCGCCCCUUGGUAUUCCGAGGGGCAUGCCUGUUCGAGCGUCAUUACACCACUCAAGCUAUGCUUGGUAUUGGGUGCCGUCCUUAGUUGGGCGCGCCUUAAAGACCUCGGCGAGGCCUCACCGGCUUUAGGCGUAGUAGAAUUUAUUCGAACGUCUGUCAAAGGAGAGGACUUCUGCCGACUGAAACCUUUUAUUUUUCUAGGUUGACCUCGGAUCAGGUAGGGAUACCCGCUGAACUUAAGCAUA